AUCGGCACCGUAGAGUGGAGCAGACCAGACCUGGAGCACGAGUACGUCCUCUUACACAGAGACGGACGCCUGGAUCCAACCCUCCAGCACCCAGAAUUUAAGGGCAGGGUGGACCUGGUGGACAGAGACCUGAAGGACGGAGACGCGUCUUUAAUCCUGAAGAACGUGAGACGCAUCGACGCUGGGACAUACGAGUGUCGGGCUGUACCUUAUGGUCCAACACGUGGAAGCAGACUCUACAUCGACUCUCAGCCAAUCACAACCGUCCGUCUGCUGGUCACUGUCCCAAGUUCUGUGGUUGGGAACUCGUCUCCUGGAGGCCGACCCCGUGGACCGGUACCAGGUCUUCUGCUUCUUGUAGCUGCUGUCCUGACCUAUUAAAGACACAAGGACGAGAGACCAGGACCACCUGCAGUCUGCCAGGAAGCCAGUCUCAGAGCUCUGUACCCCGGACUCUCUUCUCUUUCUCAUGGUGGGAGGCCAUGUCUAGAUCUCUAGCUCUCUGCUGUUUUGUCCUCAAACGUUCUAUAAAUUAACCUUUGAUCUGGAGCUCUGAGGUCCUGUAGGGUCCCCCAUGGUGACAAAUGAUGCGUGCAGAAACAGACACACACACAAACACACACACAUACACAAGACAGGGGACUAGACAGCUAACAGAAGCUAACAGAAGCUAACAGAAGCUAACAGAAGCUAACAGACACUAACAGAAGCUAACAGACCCAAACAGAUGCCAACAUAUGCUAACAGACAGAAGCUAACAGAUGUAAGGACUCAAAUUCACUGAAUACAUUUCAAAGCAAGGUGUCCAAAGUCCGUCCUGGGGCUCCAUUAAUAAAUAAUUAAUAAUACAUUAUAAACUAUGAAGAUGUAGACAUGUCCAUUUACACAACUUUUGAUUUAAAAUCAGCUAUGACUGAACUGAUGAAAUUGUGAAUAUUGCUGUAAUUGUUCUUAUAAAAACAUCUGAUGCAGCUGUAAGUAUCUCAGAGGACAUAGAGGACAAGUCCUCUCUAAAGGUCUCAGAGGACAUAGAGGACAAGUCCUCUCUAAAGGUCUCAGAGGACACAGAGGACGAGUCCUCUCUAAAUGAGACCUUAAACUGUUUCAUGCUAAAGGAAGUGUUGUCAGAAAAUGUUAAAAUACAGGUGACCAAAUUAGUUCAUUAAUGAAGCUUUUUAUAUAAAACAUGAUGAAAACUUUAAUUACUAACUUACAGAACCAUGUACUUAUAUCUCUUUGUGUAUCAGUCACAUACAGAGUAAAUAUUACUGCAAAUAUAACACAAGUAUUACUGCAAAUACAACACAAGUAUUACUGCAAAUAUAACACACGUGUAGUUUUUACACGCCGCCAGGAGAUGGAGUACUAGUGUAACGGAGGGUUUUCAUGAGCUUAGUCUUUCAGUCUUCAGGGUCUCUUGUGAGAAAAAUGAAUGCUUUUUUGUUA